rnacentral:sRNA from 1 species
UAUCACACACGAGGUCCUGAAAAAAUUGAAAUAAUACAGAGAAAAUUAGCAUGACUCUAGUACAAGAAAGACAAGUUUAUACGGGCAAAACCCUCGUCACUC